GUAUGUGAUGCAUUUGCCAGGGACAGAACAGGAAUGGAGUCUUAGAAUUUACAAGCAGCAGCCUCAACAACAACCAUCUAAAGCAGAGACAUAAAAUGUUGUUGCAGCAAACAUGUGGAUGCCAAUGGCAGUCUCAGGUGCUAAGCGCCUCUUAGGAUUGGUCUCAUUCUCUCAGGAAGGAGAGAACAAGGACUAAUUGGAACUAACUGGCGGCCAGGAAAAUAUUUAAAGAUGGCAAUGGUAACAAUGUAACAAGAGGCACAACUCACCCCACCUUACUCUAGGCUGGCUGGCUGCUGACUGGCUGCUAAGCGCUGCUCACCAGCUUCCCUAGCCUGCAGGCAUGACCAGGAGUAUUUUGACAGCUUACAACUGUAAUAAAAUUUUCAACAUACCAUGCAUUCUCCACAGCUGGUGAUGCUCCAGCUGGGUUGCUUCCAGCUGCUGACUGGCACCCAAGGAUCUGCCUUUAAUUGGUUUCUGCCUGUUACACUGAUGACUAUGCCUGGUUUUAUGGGUGUCAGAGGUGUGUUGGGACGGUGCUGAAUUAUUAUGAAUUAUUGUGGCUGAUAUGAAUAAGUGUGGUAAGAAUGACUUUGGCUUGGCAUGUUUGAAUUUGCUAGAAGAUUCUGAGGGUUCUCUUAGCAUUAUAUAGAUAGUGUGCAAGUGUAUUGAAAGUGCUGAAAUAGUACUUGAAUGGUUAAUAAAGGCUAGAUUUGAGUGUAUGUUUCAACAUCAAACUUUGAAAUAUAUCAGCCUUGGGAGACCAGCUCACCAAAGUAAAGAAGAGGUAAAAACGUGCGAUCAUUGCAGUUAGUACAGGCGGACAAAGGGUCAAAAUGGCCCUUUUUGGAUGGCAUCACGCUAAGAGCUCAAGUGGAUGAUUGAUGAGUGUGUAAAUGUUGAUUGAUCUUUGGUCUGUGCCCAUUUUGCAGUCCCUUCUAAAAUAUUAAUUUGAGAAAACCAGUAAUGAUAUGACCAAAGGGCAUAUUUCUGGGACAUGGGACUCCUUUGAGAACCAAAGGUAUAAAUGCUAAGCAAGUAAAUAGGUUAAGUUAGUUCCCCAAUUAACAUCUGAAGAGGUCUGUGAUGCUGUGAGACAGAAGGCGUCAGGGUAACCGAGACCCUGCUAUGAGGGACUAUUGUGGGACUUUUGAACCAGAGGGCCUCAGGGUAACCUAGACCCUGCUUCAGGGGACAUUUGACAGAGCAAAUACCUGAGAGGGGGAAGAAAAGAAGUCCCCAUCUAGAAUUGGUGGCUAUACCUGCUUUGUUUGCCAAUCAGGAUACUGUGUAAAGCUAACAUAGUUACUGAGGAUUUAUGCUUGG